rnacentral:rRNA from 1 species
UUUUUGGUGCCUCCAACGCGACCCCAGGUCAGGCGGGGCUACCCGCUGAGUUUAAGCAUAUCAAUAAGCGGAGGAA